AUUGAACGCUGGCGGCAGGCCUAACACAUGCAAGUCGAACGGUAGCACAGAGAGCUUGCUCUCGGGUGACGAGUGGCGGACGGGUGAGUAACGUCUGGGAAACUGCCCGAUGGAGGGGGAUAACUACUGGAAACGGUAGCUAAUACCGCAUAACGUCGCAAGACCAAAGUGGGGGACCUUCGGGCCUCACACCAUCGGAUGUGCCCAGAUGGGAUUAGCUAGUAGGUGGGGGAAUGGCUCACCUAGGCGACGAUCCCUAGCUGGUCUGAGCGGAUGACCAGCCAGCCCGGAACUGAGACACGGUCCAGACUCCUACGGGAGGCAGCAGUGGGGAAUAUUGCACAAUGGGCGCAAGCCUGAUGCAGCCAUGCCGCGUGUAUGAAGAAGGCCUUCGGGUUGUAAAGUACUUUCAGCGGGGAGGAAGGCGGUGAAGUUAAUAACUUCACCGAUUGACGUUACCCGCAGAAGAAGCACCGGCUAACUCCGUGCCAGCCGCCGCCGUAA
rnacentral:rRNA from 1 species